rfam:Triticum urartu cultivar G1812 contig873510, whole genome shotgun sequence.
CAAAUACUCCCUCCGUCCGAAAAUACUUGUAAUCAAAAUGCAUAAAAGGGAUGCAUCUAGAACUAAAAUACGUCCAGAUACAUCUCCUUUUAUCCAUUUUGAUGACAAGUAUUUCCGGACAAAAGGAGUAGUUA